rnacentral:lncRNA from 1 species
GGCAGAGUCAGCAAGGUCCAAGAAGGCUGAGAGGUCAAAGGUCAAGUAAAAGAGAACGGAAGUGAGCACAAGAUACGGUGGCAUGCAGGGACGAGGUUUCGCCAUCUUGCCCAGCCUGGUCUCAAACUCCUGAGCUCGAGCCAUCUGCCCGCCUCGGCCUCCCAAAGUGCUGGGAUUACAGGUUUGAGCCACCGCGGCCUUAAUCUUUUCUUCACAGCAGACUUCUUCCUCUAGAGUUUGAGGAGUUAUGAUAAGGCAAAUACCCUUAUAACCACCACCCAAAUCAAGAAAUAGAACUGUGCCGGCCACCUCAGAAACCCCACCACACGCCCUGACUCAAUCGUAGCUCCCUCCUUCCCCCUGAACAAGUAACUCUUUGACUUAUAGUAAUCACCUCUGUGUAUUUCUUCAUAAUUUUUUUUUUUGAGACAGAGUUUCACUCUUGUUACCUUGGCUCACCACAACCUCCGCCUCCCAGGUUCAAGCGAUUCUCCUGCCUCAGCCUCCGGAGUAGCUGGGAUUACAGGCAUGUGCCACCACGCCCGGCUAAUUUUGUAUUUUUAGUAGAGACGAGGUUUCUCCAUGUUGGUCAGGCUUGUCUCGAACUCCUGACCUCAGGUGAUCCACCCACCUCGGCCUCUAAAAGUGCUGGGAUUACAGGUGUGAGCCACCACACCCGGCCAUUUCUUUAUAAUUUUAUCACCCAGGUGUGCAUCCUUAGGUAUCAUAGUUUAGACUUGCUAAUUUCUAAAAUUGCCGUGUAUCUUUUAAAUCCUGGUACAACCCCCACAUGCUCCCCACAACUCUGUCUUUCCCUCAGAGAUUAUCUGUGGAGGAGCCUGGGGUAUUUGACCUACAGGGUUUCUCAAAGCCUGGGUUUUGCUAACUGCACAAUCACGGGGACAGAUCAAUAUGCUCCUCUGUCACAAUAAAUUAGCAACUAAAUACAGAGGCUUAGUGCUCUGUCCUGUUUGGCAAGACAGUAAUCCUGGCCCUACUUGUGUAAUAUUCUUUCACCAGCAACAGCCAAGCUUCUUGGUAGUUUUCUAUACUCAUUUAGUCACUUUCUUACCUGCCAUUCGCUCAAACCUUCUCCAAUCUAGGUUCCAGCCCCAUCACUCAGCAGACAUUAUUCUCAUUAAAGUGAUGAAUAUAGCCACAUCACUAACCAAGGGACACGUUUCUCUCCUUGCCUCACCCUCGUGGCAGCAAAAACCUUUGCUGACAUUAACACACUCCACUUGAUCGUUUUCUGCUUUGGCUUCUUAGAAGAAUAUUUAUUUGUUUAUAAAUAGAUGAUUUUCUUAGAGCAGUUUUAGGGUCACAGCAAAAUGGAGUGGAAAAUACAAUUCAAUACAGUUCACCUAUACUCCCUGGCCCUACACAGGCACAGCCCGUUCCGCAAUCCCCAUCCCCCACCAGAGGCACGUGUUGCAACUGACGAACCUACACUGAUGCACUGUCGCCACCCGGGGGCCCUAGUGUACACUGGGGUUCGCUCUUGGUGGUGUACACUCUGUGGGUUUACACAGAUGCAUAAUGACACGUAUCUGCCUUGGCUUUGGCAGGCCCCCAUUCUCCUUCCUCCUACCUUUCAGGUGAUGCCUCUGCACUCCUUCACUGCUUCUCUUCUGCCCAAUUAUUUUAAGUGCGUAAGUUCCUUAAGGCCAAUCAGAUUCUCUUCAUUCACUCAUUUGUACAUUUAUAUAUUUGCUGUGUGCUGGCCUCUACUAGACACCAUGAUUCCAGAGACCAGGACAGACUCAAGGCCUGUCCUCAUGGAACCUACAGCCUAGUGGGGAAGACAGACAUUAAAUAAUUACUAUUUGUGAGGAGAACUUGGAGAAAAAGGACAAACAAGGGGCCUCCAGUGGGCAGAGGGGAGCCCUAGUAUAGAAGGUCAGAAAUGAGUUAUCAGAGGAGGCAGUGGCCUUUAAGCUGAGAGCUGACAGGAGAGUAGGAAUUGGCCAGGCAAAAGAUGUAAGAGUGCAUGUGUGCAUGUAAGUGUGCAUGCAUGGGUGCAUAUGUGAGCGUGUGCAUGAGUGCCUGUGUGUGUGCAUGCAUGUUGGCAAGGUGCAGGGAAGGGGGCAGUCCAGGAGAGAAGCCUGUUGCAGGCAGAGGGAGUGGCAGAGUAGAGGGCCCAGGUGUGGGACUGCAGGGUGCCUUCCAGAACUGGAGGAGUUCAGGCAGAGGGAGAGCAGGAUAAGCUGAGGCAGGAGGGACCUCCCUUCCACAGCUCACACACGCCUGCCUCCUGUACACCCAGGGCUCCCGUGUGUGCCCAGGAGCCCAGAGCUCUCCUGUGCACCCCAGGCCUGAAUAGCCAAAUGCCUACUUGAUAUCUCAACUGAUAUGUCCUGCUCCAUUGAUGAGCCAAUGACCUUGCUAUCAACCCAGAAGUUGAUCCUGUCACCUCGCUCUUACCUCACCUACAAAAUGCACUCAGUCACUAAGGCCUGCUAAUCCAACCUCUUAAAGAGAUCUCAGGCCUCUCAGCUCACACCGCUUCUCACAGCCAUUAAUCUGGCAUAGGCUCUUUCCUGCAUCCCUCGGAUCACCCACCUGGCCCUCGAGUCCUCAGUCUUGCUCCCUCCCAGCACACACACAUUUGUUCCCACACUUGGGUCACAGUCAUCUUUCUUACCCCAAUCCGACCACGUCCCUCCCCUUCCCCCUUCUUUUCCUCAAAAUAAAGUUCAACUCCUUAAUACCGACCAUAAGGCCCCCCCAAUCUGACUCUUGCACCCACUCUGGCCCCAAUUCACCCCCGCCAUCUAGUCAGGGUGUGGGGAAGAGAGAUGGGCUCUGGGAAGGAGCUCACACCCUUAUCAUCCCUUCUAGGCUGUUUCUCCUCCUACGAAAAAUCAGGAUGGACAUUUCAGGUCUUCCCAGGGCUGAAAUCCAGCAGGUGCCCAGAGGAGUGUUUCCCAAUCCUUUGGCCUUCAAAGACCCCUUAUUAUUAUCUCCCAGGGUCCUCAGCUUUGUCUGUAAACAAGCAGUGUUUAUGAAGUUGGCAUUCUCAGUUUAAGCUGAUCAGAGACACAGAAAGGCCAAUGAAAGUUUCUGGGCUCUCAAGGGACAGGGU